CCUACGGGAGGCAGCAGUGGGGAAUAUUGGGCACUGGGCGCAAGCCUGACCCAGCAACGCCGCGUGAAGGAAGAAGGCUUUCGGGUUGUAAACUUCUUUUCUGAGGGACGAAGAAAGUGACGGUACCUCAGGAAUAAGCCCCGGCUAACUACGUGCCAGCAGCCGCGGUAAUACGUAGGUGGCAAGCGUUAUCCGGCUUUAUUGGGUGUAAAGGGCGUGUAGGCGGGAAAGCAAGACAGAUGUGAAAACCGAGGGCUGAACCCUGGGCCUGCAUUUGAAACUGUUUAUCUUGAGGGCUGGAGAGGAAAUCGGAAUUCCGAGUGUAGCGGUGAAAUGCGUAGAUAUAAGGAGGAACACCAGUGGCGAAGGCGGAU
rnacentral:rRNA from 1 species